rnacentral:lncRNA from 1 species
CGUUCUUUGCAAAGAUUAGAUGGAAAAGUAAUCUUCUUCAGCAAUUCAUUAAGAGAUGCAAAGAAACGUUACUGUCCAGUAAGGAAACAAUACAAAGUUUGAUCAAAUUCACCAAAAUGUGAUAUUCUACAUCUACCAAGUAGCGAUCUUCAACAAGGAAUUCAUGCGAAGUUAUAUGGAUUUUUUCUACUUGGAUCAUCUGUUAAGUGUUUUGUCACAAAAGUCGUGUAUUAGAGGAAUUGUCAAAAAAAUAGUCUUAGGUAUGUUAAGGCUAUCCCUCCUUUCUUUUUAACAUGAUCUAUACGAAAUAAACGAAACGAGCAAAUACACAACUUUUAUAAAUGACUCAAUUUAUAGAAAUUCUAGGGAUGUUUAUAUUCUUGAUUCCCCAUGUUAUUAUAUCUUAUGUUCAUGUGUCUCAAAAAAUACGUAUUUGAUAAAGUUUAUCCGAAAAGCAUAUUAAUUUUUAUGUCAAUCCGAGAAAAUCUGAUUAGCGAAUUUUUUAUGUAUCGCAUGCAUUUAUACAUGUAAAUUGAGCGAUAAAUAGAUGGUGUUAUAUACACAUAUAUUUGUAUAUUAUAUGUAUAUAGGAUAUGAGAAAAGGUUACAAUAUUAUAUACGCACCACCACCUGAUCAGCUGAUACAUGUUGAUGAUUUGCCCCCAGUGGCCGAGAUGAUAUAAUGGGAUACCCUCAGACUGAGGAUAUUAUGAACACAUGUACCUAUGCACGACAUGAUAUUCAUACGCAUAUGCAUGAAAUUAUAAGUACUUCAUGAUUUAUAGAGUUAUCUAGACUUACAAGUUGUCAUUUACUCUAUAUUUUUUCCAUGACUGUUAUGUACUUAUUUAUGUACCUUACAUACUCAAUACAUUAUUUGUACCGACGUCCCUUUCACCUUGCGACACUAUGUUUCAUGCCCGCAGAUCCCGAUAGAUAAGUCGAGGGCCCUCCAAGUAGGCAAUCAUCUCAACAGAAGAUGUUGGUGCGCUCCAUUUACUUCGAAGUUGCAUGUUUGGUUAGCAUAGUUUAGAUGUAUAUUGUUUGGUAUGGUGGGACUCUGUCCCAACCUUUAUGAAAUUAUGUAUCCUUACAGGCUUGUAGGUAGAUGUCAUGUAUGUAAAAGAUUAUAUGGCCUUGUUGGCCUAUGAUCAGUAUACGAGUAGUUAUUUGGCUUUAUAUGCUCGUAUGUCCUAUGUAUAAGUUUGGAUUAUGUAUUUUGGAUCGUCCAAUAUCGAGUAUUUCUC